CGCGGAAAUUUCCACUUCAUUGUCCGCCAUCUUUGUUGCUCGAUGUGCCGAUGUUUCGUGGAUCAGAAUCAGCUUUUUCAAACAAUCCCUGGCUGACUGGUGACCAUUCCUGCAAUGAUCUGGAUGAUUGACUGAUAGAUGCGUCCAACAUCAUGAAGACAACCUGUAGAGGGCCAGCUGUCAUGCUGGUUAUUGCAUGCUGUUCAGCUUGUGUUAAUGCUACUAAAUUUAAGGUGUCCAAACAGUGAGUGAAUGUCAGCGACAACCUUCAACACGAGGAUGCAAACCAAAGAUAGACGGGUCCUACAGUGUUCAGUCAGUCCAAACCAAACUCUCUACUGCAAAUAGACCUCACAAAUUUUGUUUCAUUUUUUUUUUAAAAUUUAGCAGAAAAUACUUAAAGAAAUUCUAAUUAUUGACUGAAAACCAUUUUUGUUUAAU